AGUGAACGCUGGCGGCGUGCCUAAUACAUGCCAGUCGAACGGUAACAGGAAGUAGUUUGCUACUUUGCUGAUUAGUGGCGCACGGGUGAGUAAUGCAUAGGUCAUGUGUCCCAUAGUCUGGGAUAGCCACUGGAAACGGUGAUUAAUACUGGAUACUCCCGAGAGGGGAAAGUUUUUCGCUAUGGGAUCAGCUUAUGUCCUAUCAGCUUGUUGGUGAGGUAAUGGCUCACCAAGGCUAUGACGGGUAUCCGGCCUGAGAGGGUGAACGGACACACUGGAACUGAGACACGGUCCAGACUCCUACGGGAGGCAGCAGUAGGGAAUAUUGCUCAAUGGGGGAAACCCUGAAGCAGCAACGCCGGGUGGAGGAUGAAGGUCGUCGGAUUGUAAACUCCUUUUCUAAGAGAAGAUUAUGACGGUAUCUUAGGAAUAAGCACCGGCUAACUCCGUG
rnacentral:rRNA from 1 species